rnacentral:rRNA from 1 species
GAUGAACGCUGGCGGCGUGCUUAACACAUGCAAGUCGAACGGUGAAGGCGGAGCUUGCUCUGCUGGAUCAGUGGCGAACGGGUGAGUAACACGUGAGCAAUCUGCCCCUGACUCUGGGAUAAGCGCUGGAAACGGCGUCUAAUACUGGAUACGAGCUGCGAAGGCAUCUUCAGCAGCUGGAAAGAACUUCGGUCAGGGAUGAGCUCGCGGCCUAUCAGCUUGUUGGUGAGGUAACGGCUCACCAAGGCGUCGACGGGUAGCCGGCCUGAGAGGGUGACCGGCCACACUGGGACUGAGACACGGCCCAGACUCCUACGGGAGGCAGCAGUGGGGAAUAUUGCACAAUGGGCGAAAGCCUGAUGCAGCAACGCCGCGUGAGGGACGACGGCCUCCGGGUUGUAAACCUCUUUUAGCAGGGAAGAAGCGAAAGUGACGGUACCUGCAGAAAAAGCGCCGGCUAACUACGUG